CCAAUAGCGUAUAUUAAAGUUGUUGCAGUUAAAAAGCUCGUAGUUGAAUUUCGGGAUUCAUCCGUUGGUCGGGCCUCACGGUCCGCACUGGUGUGAUGGGUUCCUACCUUCUGAAUAACCGGCAUGCCAUUAAUUUGGUGCGCCGGGGAAGCAGAACUAUUACCUUGAAAAAAUUAGAGUGCUUAAAGCAGGCAAGUGCCUGAAUAGGUUAGCAUGGAAUAAUAAAAUAGGACGGCAUGGUUCUAUUUUGUUGGUUUCUAGGAUCACCGUAAUGAUUAAUAGGGAUAGUUGGGGGCAUUAGUAUUCAAUUGUCAGAGGUGAAAUUCUUGGAUUUAUUGAAGACUAACUUCUGCGAAAGCAUUUGCCAAGGAUGUUUUCAUUAAUCAAGAACGAAAGUUAGGGGAUCGAAGACGAUCAGAUACCGUCGUAGUCUUAACCAUAAACUAUGCCGACUAGGGAUCGGACGAUGUUAAUUUUUUAAUGACUCGUUCGGCGCCUUACG
rnacentral:rRNA from 1 species